CGUGUGCUUACAAGUAGUCAGAGCCCGUUAAUGGGUGAUGGCGUGCCUUUUGUAGAAUGAACCGGCGAGUUACGAUUUGAUGCAAGGUUAAGCAGUAAAUGUGGAGCCGUAGCGAAAGCGAGUCUGAAUAGGGCGUUUAGUAUUUGGUCGUAGACCCGAAACCAGGUGAUCUACCCUUGGUCAGGUUGAAGUUCAGGUAACACUGAAUGGAGGACCGAACCGACUUACGUUGAAAAGUGAGCGGAUGAACUGAGGGUAGCGGAGAAAUUCCAAUCGAACCU
rnacentral:rRNA from 1 species